GACGAACGCUUGCGACGUGCCUAAGAAAUGCAAGUCGAGCGAGGUAGCAAUACCUAGCGGCGAACGGUCGCGUAACACGUAAGCAACCUGCCCCAAAGACCGGGACAACGUUCCGAAAGGAGCGCUAAUACCGGAUGUGCCCAUCGGGUGACAUCGCCUGAUGAGUAAAGCGCGCAAUCGGCUUUGGGAGGGGCUUGCGGCCUAUCAGCUAGAUGGUGGGGUAACGGCCUACCAUGGCGACGACGGGUAGCUGGUCUGAGAGGAUGGUCAGCCGGAUUGGGACUGAGAUACGGCCCAGACUCC
rnacentral:rRNA from 1 species